UACAGAGGUCCCGAGCGUUGUUCGGAUUCACUGGGCGUAAAGGGUGCGUAGGUGGCGUGGUAAGUUUGAUGUGAAAGCUCAGGGCUUAACCCUGAAAUGGCAUUGAAUACUACUGUGCUAGAGGGUUUGGAGGGGGGACUGGAAUUCUUGGUGUAGCAGUGAAAUGCGUAGAUAUCAAGAGGAACACCAGUGGCGAAGGCGAGUCCCUGGACAACACCUGACACUGAGGCACGAAAGCUAGGGGAGCAAACAGG
rnacentral:rRNA from 1 species